UACUAAUGAACAAGACAUAAUAGGAGGCAAUAAAGUACUUUUCAGUGAGUAGGUGGGUUUGAAAGGGAUCACCCGAAAAGGCACAAGUAUUUAGCCAGCUACUUAAAUGAAUGAAUGAAUGAAUGAAUGAAUAAUAGCAUGUUGAUGUAGGAGGUAUUCCUGAAAGCCUCUUAAAAAGUAGUUAACUAACCUAGAUCUGUUUGACCAGAUUACUUGCACUAUUGCAUUGGUUCAUCCAUACCAAACAGCUGCCUUCUUCUUGCCUGGACUGUGUUUAGUAGUUCUGUCUCUAAAGGAGUAAAAGAGGGACUGCUUUCCUAUAGAAAUCUAAGUAUAGGGGAGGUCUAUUGUACACAAUAAGCCAGUCUGGUCCCAAGUGAUGAAGUGCUUAGUCAAUACCACA